rnacentral:rRNA from 1 species
GGAAUUAACUGAUGUUAAUUGGUAGAGGAGCAUUGUAUACGGGACGAAGCAGUACCGAUAAGGAGCUGUGGACUGUAUAGAAGAGAGAAUGCCGGAAUGAGUAGCGAGAGGAAGGUGAGAAUCCUUCCGGCCGAAUAUCUAAGGUUUCCAGAGUAAAGCUGAUCUGCUCUGGGUAAGUCGGGGCCUAAGGCCAGGUCGAAAGACGUAACCGAUGGACAACAGGUUGAAAUUCCUGUACCUUAAGUAAACAGAACUGUGGGGACACGUGUGGAGAGCACAAGCCGGAAAUGGAAAAGCCGGUGCAAGCGAGGUAGGAGUACAGUAGGCAAAUCCGCUGUACAAUCCGAAGACGUGAUGCGGACCGAAUUAAGAGUAGGGAAGUGUGUGAGCCAUGCGUCAAGAAAAGCCGCUAUUGUUUUACUUAAGCCCGUACCGUAAACCGACACAGGUGGAUGAGGAGAGAAUCCUAAGGCCGACGGGAGAAGCAUUGUUAAGGAACUCGGCAAAAUGACUCCGUAACUUCGGGAGAAGGAGUGCCAGCGAGAGCUGGCCGCAGAGAAUUGGCCCAAGCAACUGUUUAGCAAAAACACAGGUCUAUGCAAAACCGUAAGGUGAAGUAUAUGGGCUGACGCCUGCCCGGUGCUGGAAGGUUAAGAGGAGAGGUUAGCGGUAACGCGAAGCUUUGAAUUUAAGCCCCAGUAAACGGCGGCCGUAACAAUAACGGUCCUAAGGUAGCGAAAUUCCUUGUCGGGUAAGUUCCGACCCGCACGAAAGGCGUAAUGAUUUGGGCACUGUCUCAACAAUGCACCCGGUGAAAUUGAAAUACCAGUGAAGAUGCUGGUUACCUGCGCCAGGACGGAAAGACCCCAUGGAGCUUUACUCCAGCUUGAUACUGGGAUUCGGUAUUGCAUGUACAGGAUAGGUGGGAGGCUAGGAAGUGAUAACGCCAGUUGUCACGGAGCCGCUGUUGGGAUACCACCCUUGCAGUACUGGAUUUCUAACCAGCGACCAUGAACUGGUCGGGGGACAAUGUCAGGUGGGGAGUUUGACUGGGGCGGUCGCCUCCGAAAGGGUAUCAGAAGCGCUCAAAGGUUCCCUCAGAAUGGACGGAAACCAUUCAAAGAGUGCAAAGGCAGAAGGGAGCUUGACUGCGACACCGACGGGUGGAGCAGGUACGAAAGUAGGACUUAGUGAUCCGGUGGUAUAAAGUGGGAUUGCCAUCGCUCAACGGAUAAAAGCUACCCUGGGAUAACAGGCUUAUCACUCCCAAGAGUUCACAUCGACGGAGUGGUUUGGCACCUCGAUGUCGGCUCAUCGCAUCCUGGGGCUGAAGUAGGUCCCAAGGGUUGGGCUGUUCGCCCAUUAAAGCGGUACGCGAGCUGGGUUCAGAACGUCGUGAGACAGUUCGGUCCCUAUCCGGCGUGGGCGUAGGAUAUUUGAGAGGAGCUGUCCUUAGUACGAGAGGACCGGGAUGGACUGGCCGCUGGUGUAUCUGUUGCAUACCAAAUGCAUGGCAGAGUAGCCAAGCCGGGACGGGAUAAACGCUGAAGGCAUCUAAGCGUGAAGCCCCCCUCAAGAUGAGAUAUCCCUACGUAAGUAGUAAGACCCCUCGAAGACGACGAGGUAGAUAGGUCAGAGGUGGAAGUACAGUAAUGUAUGGAGCUGACUGAUACUAAUCGGUCGAGGGCAUGACC